UCUCACUCAUUGAAGAAGCAAGAAAAAAACUCACCUUCAAUGUUGAAGCAACACCAAUUGAGAUAAAAAUGGACGCAUUGAGGUAAGUACACAACGAUGACAGAAGCAAAGGGGGAGGAGAUCAACAAACGGCAACGGCGAAAAUGGCGGAGGAAAUCGUAUGGCAGGCGAGGAUUGAGAAGAAAAUGGUAAAGGGGUGGGAGAAAGAGAGAUGGAGAUGAGAAUGGAUAAGAGAGAGAAACGGGAAAAGCUUAAUUUUUCUUUUCUUUUUGGUAUGACUUGGCAAAGUCAAAAAAAUUUAUUAUAAAAAAUGCCACACAAGGGUGGCAUGGGAGUGGUAUGCCACCUAGAGUGGUAUGUGUAUAAGUACUCUAU
rnacentral:lncRNA from 1 species